rnacentral:rRNA from 1 species
ACGAGAGACAUAAGAGUGCGCGGUGGAUGCCUUGGCCUAGGACGGCGAAGAAGGACGCGACUAACCUGCGAUAAGCUUCGGGGAGGCGGUUUGUAGCCUGUGAUCCGGAGAUUUCCGAAUGGGGGAACCCUCCAAUCUUGAAUUGGAAUCCGCGAGGUAACGCUCGCGCGAAGCGAACCCGGGGAAGUGAAACAUCUCAGUACCCGGAGGAAAAGAGAACAAUACGUUAUUCCCCCAGUAGCGGCGAGCGAAAAGGGAAGAGCCCAAACCCUACUUCGCUCAUUGCUGCGCAGAUGAGCUACGAAGGGCACAGCCUCAAAAAUCGAGUGGGCCGUGCCCUACGAAGCUCGCUGGGCGGCAGCGAGCGGAGUAGGGGGUUGUAAGACAGGAGCUCCGUACUCGUACGGCACAAGUUACAAAGGAUUAUCAUAGCCGAAGCUGCUGGGAAGCAGCGCCCCAGAGGGUAAUGGCCCCGUAGGCGAAAUGCUAAUCUCUUGUGUGCUCCUGUUCUUGAGUAACUCGAGACACGAAUAGCUCGAGUGAAUCUGCCGGAACUAACCGGUAAGGCUACAUACGUCCUAUGACCGAUAGCGAACUAGUACCGUGAGGGAAAGGUGAAAAGAACCCCGAGAGGGGAGUGAAAUAGAACUGAAACCGCGCACUUACAAAGGGUCGGAGCCCGCCAACAUUCUUUCGCAAGAAAGUUUGGGCGGGUGACGGCGUGCCUAUUGAAGAAUGAGUCGGCGAGUGUAUGUAUCUUGCGUAGCUAAGCCCUUCCGGGGCGGAGCUGUAGGGAAACCGAGCGUUAAUAGCGCGUUUGUAGGAUACAUACGACCCGAAGCCAGGUGAGCUUACCAUGAGCAGGGUGAAGUGCGUCGAAAGACGCAUGGAGGCCCGAACCCGUACGUCGUACAACGCGUUGGGAUGACUUGUGGUAAGGAGUGAAAAGCUAAUCGAACCUGGGAAUAGCUGGUUCUCUCCGAAACAGCUUUUGGGCUGGCGUCGCCAUAUGUGCCUCUGGGGGUAGAGCACUGGAAGGGAUCAAUAGGGAGAAAUCUCGUGAUUCCUAUCAAACUCCGAAUACCAGAGUGCCCGGGCGGCAGUUAGAAGGUGGGGGCGAAGCUCCAUCGAUCGAGAGGGGAAGAGCCCAGAUCGCCAGUUAAGGCCCCAAAAUCGACGCUCAGUACAUCACAAGGAAGUGCGGACUCAUUGACAGUGAGGAGGUUGGCUUAGAAGCAGCCAUCCUUUAAAGAAAGCGUAACAGCUCACUCAUCGAGAGUCCGUGCGCCGAAGAUGAUCGGGGUUAAGCGUCGUGCCGAAACUGCGGGCCCGCCAACAUCUGCGAAGUUGUGGCGGGCGGUAGGAGAGCGUUCCGUUCGCAAUGAAGCCAAAGGGGUGACCCAUGGUGGAGCGUACGGAAGUGAGAAUGCCGAUACAAGUAACCACAAUGCGGGUGAGAACCCCGCACGCCGAAAGACCGAGGUUUCCUAAGCUAUGGUGAUCAACUUAGGGUUAGUCGGGCCUAAGGGGAUGGCGAAAGCCGCACCCGAUGGACACAUGGUUAAUAUUCCAUGACCACGUUAUGGGCGACGGAGUGACGGACUGCUGUAUGCGCUGCCCAUUAUUGGAUUUGGGUUGGUGCCGUGAGGAGGUGUGGUAGGUAAAUCCGCCAUGCAUUACUCCAAACGGUGACACAAUUUCCUUCUACGGAGGGAGAGAGGGUGCAAAGCGCGGUUCCAAGAAAACCUUCUAGCAUUAACCGUAACGUGACCGUACCGCAAACCGACACAGGUGGUCAGGUCGAGAAGACUAAGGCGAACGAGUGAGAUGUCCUCAAGGAACUCGGCAAACAAGCGGCCGUAAGUUAGCGAUAAGGCCUUCCGCCCAAACUUCUCUUCGGAGAAGAAUGUUGGCGGACGCAGUGAACAUUUUCCUGGCAACUGUUUACCAAAAACACAGCUCCCUGCGAACUCGUAAGAGGAUGUAUAGGGGGUGACACCUGACCAAUGCCGGUAGGUUAAGUACGGGGGGUGUGCGCAUCACACUGCGUGUGAUGCUGAUAUUGAAAUAUUUAAACAUUUAAAUAUCAGCAUCGUGCAUAGCGCGAUGCGCAUGCUGGACUGUAUAUGCCCCGGUGAAUGUCGGCGAUAACUAUAAUCGUCCUAAGGUAGCGCAAUUCCUUGUCGGGUAAGUUCCGACGUGCACGAAUGG